GGGAGUAUGUCCGAGUGGUCUAAGGAGCUGGACUUGAAAUCCAGUAUGCUCUGCAUGCGCAGGUUCAAACCCUGCUGCUCUCG
rfam:Rhizoclosmatium globosum strain JEL800 BCR33scaffold_325, whole genome shotgun sequence.